rnacentral:rRNA from 1 species
UAGGGAAUAUUGGUAAUGUGCGAAAGCGCGAACCAGCAACGCCGCGUGCACGAUGAAGGCCUUCGGGUUGUAAAGUGCUUUUAGAGAGGAUGAGGAAGGACAGUACUUUCUGAAUAAGCCUCGGCUAACUACGUGCCAGCAGCCGCGGUAAAACGUAGGAGGCUAGCGUUAUCCGGAUUUACUGGGCGUAAAGCGCGUGCAGGUGGUUUCGUAAGUUGGAUGUGAAAGCUCCUGGCUUAACUGGGAGAGGUCGUUCAAAACUGCGAGGCUGGGGAGUGGUAGAGGGAGGUGGAAUUCCGGGUGUAGUGGUGAAAUGCGUAGAUAUCCGGAGGAACACCAGUGGCGAAAGCGGCCUCCUGGACCAUUUCUGACACUCAGACGCGAAAGCUAAGGUAGCAAACG